GCUGGAGUGGUGAAAUUGGCAGACACGCAUGAUUCAGGUUCAUGUGCCGAAAGGCAUGGGGGUUCAACUCCCCCCUUCAGCA
rnacentral:tRNA from 1 species